rnacentral:rRNA from 1 species
AUUGAACGCUGGCGGCAGGCCUAACACAUGCAAGUCGAACGAGUGGCGGACGGGUGAGCAAUGUCUGGGAAACUGCCCGAUGGAGGGGGAUAACUACUGGAAACGGUAGCUAAUACCGCAUACCAUCGGAUGUGCCCAGAUGGGAUUGGCUAGUAGGGGGGGUAACGGAUAACCUAGACGACGAUCCCUAGCGGGUCUGAGAGGAUGACUGGCCACACUGGAACUGAGACACGGUCCAGACUCCUACGGGAGGCAGCAGUGGGGAAUAUGGCACAAUGGGCGCAAGCCUGAUACGGCCAUGCCGCGUGUAUGAAGAAGGCCUUCGGGUUGUAAAGUACUUUCAGCGAGGAGGCGUUACUCACAGAAUAAGCACCGGCUAACUCCGUGCCAGCAGCCGCGGUAAUUC